AUUCAUAUAGUUAUCCUUGGGCGAUCUUGGAUCUUAAUUAGUACACUCACGUUCCCUGUGGAAAAUCGAUACUCUGGAAUACUCCCGGGUGAAGGCUACAUCGGUAUCCGUGCGCUUGCGGAUUUUUCUGUUUGCGUUUAAAAUACCCAACAUUGAGCUUCCUCAAUAAAUAAUACUCCCUAUUUUUAUAUUUUUAUUUUAUAAAGCAGAAAAGAAAUAUUUAUUUUAUUUUUAUGCCACCACAGUGAAGGUACUUAUGGGUUUUAUACCACUCGUAUACUCACAUGGGGCUUAGUAUUUUUUAACAUUUUUAUUUUCUUUUCAAGAUAGCAUGAUUAACUAAUAAUCUAUUUAAGGAAAGUAAAUAAUUAAAGGCAAAAGGGAAUGCAGAAAGGAUAAAUAUGGAUAACUACUGAUCUUACCUUUCGGCGAGGGUUAAAUGUUUUAAGUCUUCUUAACAAGACUUCUCACCGUGUUCAUUCUUCAGGUGUGUCAUUUGAUUCAGGUGCGGACCUUGACGUCUGUACCUCUUGAUACGGUGUCACCCAUGUUCUUCGUUUGCCCAGCAGUUCGAAGUGCGGCGUUGGCAGUAACCGUAACCUGCUCAGUGUGUUUGUGCUCGUAGAUCUAGGCCCUUCACUUGGUAGAGUCUGAGAGUUAUAAAACUCCUCCAUGUUUUGCUCAAAGUGUACCUGCUCAUAGAGACAAGGCAGAGAUCAAGUGCAUGGGUCCUGUUGGUGGAAAACACCAACAGAACCUAAAGUGUAUUUGUUCUUCUCUAACCCUAAGCAUAGUGAGCAAGACAAAGUUGAUGGAUGAAAAGUUCAUGAGUGUAGCACUUAUAACAUUUGUCAGAUCAGAUCGCUCAACCUUAUGAAAAGAUAAUCUAUCUAUGUAUAUGUCUUUUUCUUUAUAUCUCUCAAUGAUUGAAUGUGUAACAUUUUAGCUCAUAUGAUUAGGAGUGUGGGAUCAUGGAGGUAGUACUAAGAACAAGGAUUAAAGGACUAAACAUGUUGAAUCAGUUGGGUUGGUUAAUCUAGAGUUGUAAAUCAUACA
rnacentral:lncRNA from 1 species